rnacentral:lncRNA from 1 species
AACUCUCGUCCUUCUACUCCUCGACAUGUUUCAUCAAGUGGACAUGAUAGAAAUUCCUCCGCCACCGUUACUCCCGAAACAUGGCCACAAUUGCCAAAUCCUUCACUAGCUCCACUAAAUAUCGCAAGCCAAACCUCUUAUAACCCUCUAAACCGAGACUCCAAUAGACCAACUCAUUCCCAAACGACUCAAGUUUCGCAAGAGGUACUCGGACGUCAAAUGCCUCCACAAAAUCCGAACCCCCCCUUCCAAGCUCCACUAAACCAAAGACCACCACCUCCACAAAAUCCAAUUCCUCCGAAUUAAGUUCCAAAUGUCCAAAACCGUCCCGUCCACCUUAAGGAAUAUGAUAGAGAGGAUUAUGAAGGGUAUGAAGCCUUUGAUGAUGCCUACAUGAGGGAGGAAGAGAUGAGAGGGGGUCGUGUGGAUCCAAGGAGAUACCGAGGGUAUGGAGAAAGGGGAAACCGACACCUAGAGAGACGUAGGAAUCAAUACCAUCUAAUUGAGCCUACCUAUCUUUAAGGGUGAAAGUGACCCCGAGGUGUAUCUUGCUUGGGAGUCGGUGUGUGAUAAAGUGUUUCAAAUGAAUGGUAUCUCGGAGAAGAAGAAAAGUUGUUAUGCCAUAGCUCAUUUUGAAGGCUAUGCUAACACUUGGUGGGAAUACGUCAAGCGGUUUGGCAACGAGUUGGUAGAGGGACAGCCACCGCCAUGGUUUCGGUUAAGGUACCUAAUGAGGCAACGGUAUCUUCCCAAGAGUUAUCGUCAUGAGUUUCUUGCUAGGUUGUACAAUUUGCGACAAGGGAAUCGAAGUGUUAUGACAUACUAUGACGAGUUUCAACAACUCAUGUUGAAGCUUGAUCAUCGGGGAGAACAAAUUGGCCAUGACAUUAUUCGGUUCAAGUGUGGGUUGAACAAAGAGAUCUCCACCCAUUUGAUGCUUCACAAGUUUGAUACCGUUGAAGGGAUUUUCCAAGCGGCUUUUGAGAUUGAAAGGGAGCUUAAAGAGAGGUCGUCAUUCAAGGCAAAGGGACCAUCAACCUCGGGUUGGCCGAGGAGCAAAGAUAUGGUUCAACCAUUUUUGGGUUGGCCCAAAAACAAGGACUAACCCGCCACUACAAGACUGCCCGAGACUAAAACAGUCCACAAAUUUCCUCCCCGGCUAGAAGCUCACAAGUGUCCUAAUCCUAAAGGGUUCCAAUGUUUCAAGUGCCAAGGUUGGGGACAUUAAGCCAAUGAAUGUCCAAACCGGCGUAAUGUGAUCCUAAGGGAAGGGAGAUUGUAUUACCUUGGUGAGAAAGUGGGUUUUGAAAAAGAAGAGAAUGAGGCCGAGCCUCAAGAUGGAGACGAACCCGAAAAUGAUCCACAUGAUGAUGAUGAUGAUUGUGAGGAUGCUUAUCCGCAAUGAGGGGAGUGCGUGGUUCUAAACUUUGUAUUGAGGCGUGCCAUGAUUAGUAAGGCAAUAGAUGAUCCUAGCCAAUGAGAGAAUCUGUUCCAUACUAAAUGUCUUGUGAAGGGAAGUGCGUGCACUAUGGUGAUAGAUAGUGGAAGUUGUGCGAAUAUGGUUAGUGUUGCAAUGGUGAACUUCUUGAAAUUGCCGACUACACCUCACACUAGUCCUUACAAGUUGCAAUGGUUGAAUGAAUGGGGCGAGUUAAAGGUCACAAGGCAAUGUGUGAUAUGUUUUAAGGUAGCCAACUACCAUGACGAGGUACUUUGUGACGUGAUACCAGUGCAAGCUUGUCACUUUUUGUUAGGAAGGCCUUGGCAAUACGAUAGGUCGACCAAACAUGAUGGAAGGUCCAAUCGGUAUACACUUGAGAAGGAUGGCCGCAAGAUCGCUCUUCAUCCAUUAUUGCCUUCCCAAGUGAAUGAAUUACACCAAAAGAUGCGAGAAUUGAGGGAAAAGGGAAAGAAGGCUGAGAGUGAGGGGAAAAGAGGGGAACCCGAGAGUGAGGGAGUAGGGGAAACCGAGGGGCUCCUAAUUUCUAAGGGGCAAGGAAGUGUGGU